GAUCUCUGUCCUUUAAGAAGGAAAUGGUGAAUAUCCUGGAUUCCAAUUGCCAAGAACUUGCUUUCUGGAUUAAAGAAUUUCAGGACAUGUACAAUGGGCACUCAAACAAAGUAAAUGAAAGCCUUGCUCUAGAUAAAGAACGAACACCAGGUGUUAGUGUACAAAAGAACAUGUUGUUUAGGAGGAUACCAAUAGGCAUCUUGUUCGGAUGCUUGAAUCAUAUAAAUGAUGCUGAAUGUGAACUGCUUUUGCAUUAUGGUGCAACUGGUACCCUCAUGCAAUUAACUGGAGCACAACCUGGAAUGAAGGAUAAGAAAUCUAACCAUGAACGGCAAAAAGGUUUGAUUGCAUGGGCGGAGACAUACACAGGAAAAG
rnacentral:misc_RNA from 1 species